CUCACUGGCCAGAGUUCAGAACCACAAAGCUCUUCUCUCUCCUGAGUAUUUUUGCCUUUGGUAGAUGACAUUCAGUGCUUCUCAGAUUACAUGGCAUUACGGAUCCCCAAGAGCCACAUCCAAGGCCUGAAGCAGUGGCUGUUCAGAACCCUGCAUGUACCAGUGAACUGGGGGUCCAUGGAAUUGCUGAAUUCGUUCCUGGCCAAGUGUGGCUAUUUCCUAUACCCUGAUUCAGCUGGUGAUUAUUUCUUCCAAGCACGUUACACAGCUUGUUUUGUGCAGCAAGAGGUAGGCC
rnacentral:lncRNA from 1 species